UACGGGGGGGGUAAGCGUUGUUCGGAAUUACUGGGCGUAAAGGGCUCGUAGGCGGCCAACUAAGUCAGACGUGAAAUCCCUCAGCUUAACUGGGGAACUGCGUCUGAUACCGGAUGGCUUGGAUUUGGGAGAGGAAUGCGGAAUUCCAGGUGUAGCGGUGAAAUGCGUAGAUAUCUGGAGGAACACCGGUGGCGAAGGCGGCAUUCUGGACCAAUAUUGACGCUGAGGAGCGAAAGCCAGGGGAGCAAACGGG
rnacentral:rRNA from 1 species